rnacentral:misc_RNA from 1 species
AGCAGCCGCGGUAAUUCCAGCUCCAAUAGCGUAUAUUAAAGUUGUUGCAGUUAAAAAGCUCGUAGUUGAAUUUCGGGGUCUGUCCGUCGGUCGGGCUUCACAGUCCGUACUGGUGUGAUGGGUUCCUACCUUCUGAAUAACCGGCAUGCCAUUCAGUUGGUGCGCCGGGGAAGCAGAGCUAUUACCUUGAAAAAUUAGAGUGACUUAAAGCAGGCUAGUGCUUGAAUAGAUUAGCAUGGAAUAAUAAAAUAGGACGGCAUGGUUCUAUUUUGUGGUUUUUAGGAUUACCGUAAUGAUUAAUAGGGAUAGUUGGGGGCAUUAGUAUUCAAUUGUCAGAGGUGAAAUUCUUGGAUUUAUUGAAGACUAACUUCUAGCGAAAGCAUUUGCCAAGGAUGUUUUCAUUAAUCAAGAACGAAAGUUAGGGGAUCGAAGACGAUCAGAUACCGUCGUAGUCUUAACCAUAAACUAUGACCGACUAGGGAUCGGACGAUGUUAAUUUUAAUGACUCGUUCGGCGUCCU